rnacentral:rRNA from 1 species
AUGGCGAAUGGCGUAGGAUCUCAGAGGGGGAAGGGAAAAGAGACAGCAGAGGAUCUGCUCGCUCGCCUUACUCUGCAGGAGGAGGAAGAUGAUUUUGUGUGGGAAGAAGAACUCCCGGAUCUGAUGGAACCGGCGCAAUGGCUGGCGAUCGCUAGGGUACACACAUCAAAAACCUUCAGCCCUAAUGCACUCUAUGGCGACAUGAGGGCAGCUUGGAACCCGGCUAAGACAGUAGUCUGGAGGAAGAUCAAGGAGAACCUCUUUACAGCUCAAUUUGGGUGCCUUGCAGAUUGGAAG